rnacentral:rRNA from 1 species
AUUGAGCGCUGGCGGCAGGCCUAACACAUGCAAGUCGAACGGUAGCACAGAGAGCUUGCUCUCGGGUGACGAGUGGCGGACGGGUGAGUAAUGUCUGGGAAACUGCCCGAUGGAGGGGGAUAACUACUGGAAACGGUAGCUAAUACCGCAUAACGUCGCAAGACCAAAGAGGGGGGACCUUCGGGCCUCUUGCCAUCGGAUGUGCCCAGAUGGGAUUAGCUUGUUAGGG